UACGGGGGAGCAAGCGUUGUUCGGAUUUACUGGGCGUAAAGGGCGCGUAGGCGGCCACCGCAAGUCGACUGUGAAAUCUCCGGGCUUAACCCGGAAAGGUCAGCCGAUACUGCGGGCUAGAGUGCAGAAGGGCAACUGGAAUUCUCGGUGUAGCGGUGAAAUGCGUAGAUAUCAAGUGGAACACCAGUGGCGAAGGCGAGUCUCUGGACAUUCCUGACGCUGAGGCACGAAAGCCAGGGAGCAAACGGG
rnacentral:rRNA from 1 species